UUUUAAUGAAAUAACUCAAUAACUCGAAGAUUUUAUGUAGAUUAUGAUGAUUCGAGUUAUAAAAUUCUUAGUUCCAUUCUCUUCAAAUUGGAAAAAUAUUAAAUAACGCACGAAUUAAUAACCACGUUUGGCAACGGUAGUCGAGAGAGUAUAAACAAAACGAAACGAAAGACUUUAGUAGCAAGCGCAUAUUCAAGACCAGUUUUUUAAAUACAUACAUACAUAUGUACAUAUAAAUACAUAGUUCAAGUUGAGUCGUGCUGAGUACCCGUUUGUUCUUUCACAUGCCUAUUUUGGUUUGAAUGAAUGGAAAUAAUUUUUUUCGUGAUAGGUUGUUAGUCAUAUACAUACACAUGCCCAUAUUUAUACUGAAUUUUGAUUACUGCAUUGAACUUGUUAACUAGAAGAAUUAGUUGUUCUUUAAACGUUAAUAAAGCCAGACGUGGUCGUUUAAAAUAAAAAAAAUAUUAAAAUCUAAAUUGAAAUUGAAAUUACUCUCAAUGAAAAUACUAUAUUUAGAAUUUAGUUAAUGUUAACGAGGACAUGACUGUUUAUGGCAUUAUUGUUCAAAUAAUUAUAGUUUGCAACUAAUAAUUGGUCGCUGUAAUAAUUAUAACUAAAUAUGAUUUAAAUUAUGCCGUGAUAAAAUGGCGAAGAAAAAACAAAUGUGUCGGUUACAGGAAAUUAAUUUAGGCAGGAAGAUUACUCGGUAUCAGCUAAGAAGUGUGAAAUACAUACGUCACCAAAAGAUUAAAGCAGAAAUGGGAACAAUCCAUAUUGGAAUCCUAAGAUAAGGGUUAUUAUUACCUAAUCGAAAAAUAAUAUUUACAAACAAAAUAAAUCUAUUUUUUCCUUUAAAAUAA